GGGAAUGAUGAUUUCACAGACUAGAGUCUCCGAUGCUGGUCAUGAUGUCAAAACUAAGUUCUGAUC
rnacentral:snoRNA from 10 species